AUUUUUAGUAGAGAUGGGGUUUCGCCAUGUUGGCCAGGCUGGUCUUGAACUCCUGACCUCAGGUGAUCCACCCACCUCGGCCUCCCAAAGUGCUGGGAUUACAGGCGUGAGGCACCAUGCCCGCCCUUCUGUCUGUGUCUUUCUUAUUCACUACUCCAGUUUUCUUCACCUUCUCCCUUCUGGAAGGCCACUCUUCUGGGUGGAGGGGACCAGACUUCAGAAGGUACUGACCUCUUCUUCUUGUUCCCUUUGGGGUGCUUCCUUCCUCCUAGCCAACUUCACCUUGCCAGAUGUUGGGGACUUCCUGGAUGAGGUUCUGUUCAUUGAGCUGCAGCGGGAGGAAGCAGACAAGCUAGUGAGGCAGUACAAUGAGGAAGGCCGCAAGGCUGGGCCACCCCCUGAAAAGCGCUUUGACAACCGAGGUGGUGGUGGCUUCCGGGGCCGCGGGGGUGGUGGUGGCUUCCAGCGCUACGACAACCGAGGACCCCCUGGAGGCAACCGUGGCGGCUUCCAGAACCGAGGGGGAGGCAGCGGUGGAGGAGGCAACUAUCGAGGAGGUUUCAACCGCAGUGGAGGUGGUGGCUAUAGCCAGAACCGCUGGGGUAACAACAACCGGGAUAACAACAACUCCAACAACAGAGGCAGCUACAACCGGGCUCCCCAGCAACAGCCACCACCACAGCAGCCUCCGCCACCACAGCCACCACCCCAGCAGCCACCGCCACCACCCAGCUACAGUCCUGCUCGGAACCCCCCAGGGGCCAGCACCUACAAUAAGAACAGCAACAUCCCUGGCUCAAGCGCCAAUACCAGCACCCCCACCGUCAGCAGCUACAGCCCUCCACAGAGCUUUGGCUUUUUUCCCUCCACUUUCCAGCCGAGUUACAGCCAGCCACCCUACAACCAGGGAGGUUACAGCCAGGGCUACACAGCCCCACCGCCUCCACCUCCACCACCACCUGCCUACAACUAUGGGAGCUACGGCGGUUACAACCCGGCCCCCUAUACCCCACCGCCACCCCCCACCGCACAGACCUACCCUCAGCCCAGCUAUAACCAGUAUCAGCAGUAUGCCCAGCAGUGGAACCAGUACUAUCAGAACCAGGGCCAGUGGCCGCCAUACUACGGGAACUACGACUACGGGAGCUACUCCGGGAACACACAGGGUGGCACAAGUACACAGUAGCCAGUGUGACCCAGAGGCUCCCGGAGGCCCCUGCCGGCUUCCUCCACCAGCGCCUGCCUCGGCCCCUCCUCUGCCCCCGCCAGAUCUGGUGGUGCUGGGGAUGGGGGUCAUCCCAGGGCUGCCUCCCUCCAGCCCACUGCCUUCCCUCUGAGGGGCUUCCUUCCCCUCCAUAGGGCCAGGCAUUUUUUUCUGGAUUCAAACAGGCAACAAUGACCUUUUAUUUUCUGUUUGUCCCCACCUCCCCAACCUUCCACCUCCUGUUCUUCCUACCUUCUUCCUUUUUGACUAAAUAAUCCCCGCCUCCCUUGAUCAUACAGUGAGGCUACAGUGACUGAGAGGAGAAUCCCCUCCUGUUCACUCUCCCAACCCUGCUCCAGCCCCUCAGCUUCCCAGACCCUCAUGCAGUUGGUUGUAAAUUCUCCCAGGAGCUGUUUUACUGUCUACUUUUCAGGAUUAAAAAAAAUCAAAACUU
rnacentral:sRNA from 1 species